rnacentral:tRNA from 1 species
GCCGUUUUAGCUCAGUUGGUAGAGCGCAUCCAUGGUAAGGAUGAGGUCGCCGGUUCAAACCCGGCAAAUGGCU